CAUUAUUGAAAUAACUUGGCUGGGUUGUUGCUGGUCCUUAAGGACAUGUGCACAUCUUGCAUUAAACAAGAACCACUUGUGCACUUUUGUAGACAUGAAGGAAAUACCUAUCAGGGUGAAAAAACCUUGGUUUGAGGAUUCUUCUAGUCUAUGUUACAUUUUUCAAUAUACCCUAAUAAAAAAAUAUAGUACAAUGUUAUUUGACAAGGCCCUAUUGAGCCUUUAAAACAAGUACAACUUUCAACAAUGGAUCUCUUGGCUCUUGCAUCGAUGAAGAACGCAGCGAAAUGCGAUAAGUAAUGUGAAUUGCAGAAUUCAGUGAAUCAUCGAAUCUUUGAACGCACCUUGCGCUCCUUGGUAUUCCGAAGAGCAUGCCUGUUUGAGUGUCAUGAAAUUCUCAACCUUUUCUAGCUAUUUUAUAUAUCUAGUCAAGGAUUGGAUUAUGGGAGGUUGCAGGCUUCUUGACAAGUCAGCUCUUCUUAAAUGUAUUAGCAAAAACCAUUUGCUGGAAUAGUCCUUUUGGUGUUGAUAAAGUUAUCUAUGCCAUUGGGAAGUCAGCUUUUAUUACACAUGGUUUAGCUUUCUAAUGGGGUCUACUUGGACCAAAUUUUGACAACUUAACCU
rnacentral:rRNA from 1 species